AGCAGCCGCGGUAAUUCCAGCUCCAAUAGCGUAUAUUAAAGUUGUUGCAGUUAAAAAGCUCGUAGUUGAAUUUCGGAAUCAAUGGAUCGGUCAUGCCACUCGGUGUGUACUGGUUUGAUUGGUUCUCACCUUCUAAGGAACCGUGAUGUCAUUAAUUUGGUGUCGCGGGGAAUUAGGACUGUUACUUUGAAAAAAUUAGAGUGUUUAAAGCAAGCUCACGCUUGAAUACAUUAGCAUGGAAUAAUGAAAUAGGACAUUGUAUUCUAUUUUGUUGGUUUCUAGGAUCGAUGUAAUGAUUAAUAGGGAUAGUUGGGGGCAUUAGUAUUCAAUUGUCAGAGGUGAAAUUCUUGGAUUUAUUGAAGACUAACUACUGCGAAAGCAUUUGCCAAGGAUGUUUUCAUUAAUCAAGAACGAAAGUUAGGGGAUCGAAGACGAUCAGAUACCGUCGUAGUCUUAACCAUAAACUAUGCCGACUAGGGAUCGGAUGAUGUUAAUUUUUAAUGACUCAUU
rnacentral:rRNA from 1 species